GCCCCGCCAUGGGCUGGAUUCGGUAAGAUCCACUGUGCCACCCCUCGACCAGCCCGGCCCUCGCGUCGGCGGCUCCACCGAGCCAAAUCCCGAGCCCCUCCUUCGCCAGUAUUCUUCACCGCCGACGCACAUCGACCGGCAGCGAAUCAUCCUGCGCAAGACGACGCGGCCCCCGCCCCAGACUGGUGCCAACGCGGCCCCGUGCCCAGCUUCUCCCUAUUGGCGUCGUCUUGGUCCCCGCCGCCUCGGUCUCUCGCCGGUUCAGUGCAUCUCGGGGCCGGCCCCUGACGAUUCCAACCGGCGACGGGGUCCCCUACUCGCGUGCCCCUUGGGACCCCCUGCAAUCCUGAUCUCCCUGGCCACGCAAUCCUCACGUAGCCUUCGUAGGGCUGUGGAUUGGAUUGACGGCGUGGAUACAACCUUCUGAGUCAGAUGCUGGAGGACGUGGUGGACUGUCGAUCUGCUCCACAGCCCGGCAGGUGGCAGUGCAGACGAGCGUCGCCAGCUCAAGAGGAUUUGAUGAUGUCCAGGGCAUGGAUGAGGCCAAGCAGGAGCUUCUUGAGGUGAAUAUGGUGCACUAAUAAUCAAUACUAGUUGCUCAUGCUGGAAGAGAAAAGGGGGAAAACAUUGGAAAAAGAGUUGCAAUCAGGAUGAACAAGAGUUUUGUAAAAGAGGAGCUGAGAGGGCACAUCAAGAUGGAAGCUCACUUUUCAGGUCCAUGGCCAGCAAAGCGUGGGACAACAGUUGUGGCAAUGGAGAACAUGGUAGAUGGAGAAGGGGAGGUCAAGGGGGGAGGUUUGGGGAGCUGUGACUGGGAAGGUGGAAGCGGCGCGAGGUGCUACUGAGAUCAUGCCAUGAUCGCUAAUGGUUAUGAGCGCUAAUAACCAUUAGGAGGGUUUGGUGCAUCAGCUGUCAUGAUUGCUUAUGUCGUUAGGGGGAGUAGCAGUUACGAUCAUGACAGAUUCUCCCUUGGAGGCCAUGUGCGCGAGGGACUGUUUCUUUCCUUUUUGGUUUGCCAGUUGGAUCUGGGAGAGGUCCACUACCAAUUUAAGGGUGUGUGCCCUGGGCCGCUAGCCAGCCAACGGUUGCUGGCUAGUCGCGUUCCAAAAAUAAACACAGAAACACCCAGCGAAAUUUGGUAAACAAGCCAGAACCAGUCCCGAGCACUUGGGCGUCAAUAACUGUAGCAAAUUAAGAGCAGAAAUCAGCAUCAACAGGAACCCUAUUAGAGCACAAAUAUUGGGUAUGAAGGGACUGUAGUGGCGAAGGGAAAUAUGCAGCAAAGUUGAAGAUGAAGGGACGAACUACUGGAGAAGCACAACUCCUAGAUGUUACUGCAUCACUACCGGAUGAAGAAGGGGGAGAACCUGGGUAUCGACACACUGCAUAUGUAGGUAACUCGCCAACAUCACAUUCUGCGCAAUCCCAUAGCUCUGCAAAUAUAUCAAAAACAACACACAUAAACAAGGGAGGCAUUCACUCACACCUUUCAAACCUGGGGGAGCAUGGCAAACUUUGAAGAAUACACGAACGAUGCGAGGCGAUGGGUGAGCGCCAGGUCAGGGUAGGCGGGGCGGCCCCACCUAUCCGUACCUUCAUGGAGCCGUGGAUUAAGCAGACAAACAUGGACUUUGCUCAUUUAUUAGUACAAGCAGAAGAUCGUCUCCCUCUACGACAGAAUGGUUACGUUUUUCGCCCAUUGUAAUACUACUUUUCUAAUUCACCCGUUCCACAAGGAGCAUGAUAUGAAUACCAGAGGAACAUAUUA